ACCAUCGGGACCCAGAAACACAGCCCUACCUGGCCCCGCCCCUUCAGCACAUCUUCCCCCCCGCCCAACACCGGAGAGGAACCCGCCACCGGCGAAUCACGACCCGUCUCACAGCAGCACCACCGUGUGUGGACUGCAGGUGCCGACUUGGAGGGUCAGAGGUCAGAGCCCAGAUCAGAAUCCGUAACGGAAAGCCUUACUGUGACCCCUGCUACAUCAGACUCAAGUCACACCUUGCCACCUCCCUGUGACCAGAAUGCAUUGCAGCAGAUUGAGGAAGA